rnacentral:rRNA from 1 species
AUUGAACGCUAGCGGGAGGCUUUACACAUGCAAGUCGAACGAGUGGCGGACGGGUGAGUAAUAUAUCGGACCGUGCCCAGUAGGGGGGGAUAACUACGAGAAAGAGGGGAUAAUAGCGCAACCUCUUGGGGCGGCCGAUAUCGGUAUAGCUAGUGGGUGGGGUAAAGGCUCACAAAGGCAACGACCCGUAGCUGGUUUGAGAGGAAGACCAGCCACACUGUGACUGAGACACGGCCCAGACUCCUACGGGAGGCAGCAGUGGGGAAUUUUGGACAAUGGGGGAAACCCUGAUCCAGCCAUCCCGCGUGUAUGAGAAGGCCUUCGGGUUGUAAAGUACUUUUGGCAGAGAAGCGGUAUCUGCAGAAUAAGCACCGGCUAACUACGUGCCAGCAGCCGCGGUAAUAC